GACGAACGCUAGCGGCAGGCCUAAUACAUGCAAGUCGAACGGUGUCUUCGGACAUAGUGGCGCACGGGUGCGUAACACGUAUGCAACCUACCUUACAUUGGGGGAUAGCCUUUCGAAAGGGAGAUUAAUACCGCAUAAGACAGUAGCUGGGCAUCCAGCAGCUGUUAAAGAUUUAUCGAUGUAAGCUGGGCAUGCGUCCAAUUAGCUAGUUGGUGAGGUAACGGCUCACCAAGGCAAUGAUUGGUAGGGGAACUGAGAGGUCAAUCCCCCACACUGGCACUGAGAUACGGGCCAGACUCCUACGGGAGGCAGCAGUAGGGAAUAUUGGGCAAUGGACGCAAGUCUGACCCAGCCAUGCCGCGUGCAGGAUGAAGGCGUUAUGCGUGGUAAACUGCUUUUAUACAGGAAGAAACGACUCUUGCGAGAGGCAUUGACGGUACUGUAUGAAUAAGCACCGGCUAACUCCGUGCCAGCCGCCGCAGUAAUAC
rnacentral:rRNA from 1 species